rnacentral:rRNA from 1 species
CCUACGGGUGGCAGCAGUGGGGAAUAUUGCACAAUGGGCGCAAGCCUGAUGCAGCCAUGCCGCGUGUGUGAAGAAGGCCUUCGGGUUGUAAAGCACUUUCAGCGGGGAGGAAGGCGUUAAGGUUAAUAACCUUGUCGAUUGACGUUACCCGCAGAAGAAGCACCGGCUAACUCCGUGCCAGCAGCCGCGGUAAUACGGAGGGUGCAAGCGUUAAUCGGAAUUACUGGGCAUAAAGCGCACGCAGGCGGUCUGUCAAGUCGGAUGUGAAAUCCCCGGGCUCAACCUGGGAACUGCAUUCGAAACUGGCAGGCUAGAGUCUUGUAGAGGGGGGUAGAAUUCCAGGUGUAGCGGUGAAAUGCGUAGAGAUCUGGAGGAAUACCGGUGGCGAAGGCGGCCCCCUGGACAAAGACUGACGCUCAGGUGCGAAAGCGUGGGGAGCAAACAGGAUUAGAUACCCUAGUAGUC